rnacentral:rRNA from 1 species
UGAGGAAUUUUGGACAAUGGGGGAAACCCUGAUCCAGGGAUACCGUGUGAGUGAUGAAGGCCUUCGGGUUGUAAAGCUCUUUCAGUGGGGAAGAUAAUGACGGUACCCACAGAAGAAGCACCGGCUAACUCUGUGCCAGCAGUCGCGGUAAUACAGAGGGUGCGAGCGUUAUUCGGAAUUAUUGGGCGUAAAGGGUGCGUAGGCUGUUUUGUAAGUCUAUCGUGAAAUACCAGAGCUUAACUCUGGGGCUGCGAUGGAUACUACAAAACUUGAGAUCGGGAGAGGUAAAUGGAAUUCCUAGUGUAGAGGUUAAAUUCGUAGAUACUAGGAGGAACACCAGAGGCGAAGGCGAUUUACUGGAACGACUCUGACGCUGAGGCACGAAAGCGUGGGUAGCAAACAGG